GCCGGGUGGGGUGGCCGUACCUGUCAUCCCAGCCACUCCGGAGGCUGAGGCAGGAGGAUGGCAAGUUGGAGGCCAGCCUCAGCCACUU
rnacentral:sRNA from 1 species